AACUGGUCGGCCUCAUUUUAGGGUGUGUGGUAGGCAGAAUAAUGACCCCCCAAAGAUGUCUACAUCCUAAUCCCCAGAAUCUAUGAAAAUGUUCCCUUAUGUGGCAGAAGGGACUUUGCACAGGUGAUUCAGGUUAAGGCCCAUGAGAUGGGAGGGUAGCCUGCGUUAGCCAGGGGGGAAUCCAUCUAAUCACAGGAGUGCUUAAAAGCGGAGAACCUUUGCCAGCUGUGGUCAGAGGGAGUCGUGACUGUGGAAGAAAGGCACAGAGAGACUCAACGCUGCUGGCUUUGAAGAUGGAGGAAGAGGGCCCUGAGCCAAGGAAUGCAAUGGGCCUGUAGAAGCUGGAAAAGCUCUUCAGAACCUGAAAGGCAGCAUAGCUCCUGGGACUGUGUGUGUGUUAUACAGCGGCUAAGGAGGAAGAUGAUUUGUUUCGGGCUGUGCAGAGUGAGUGAAGAUGGAGCUGCAGUUAGUGUCCAUGGAACAGAUGCAACACUAUCUGCCUCACCCUACCUGUGACUAUCCUCUCACUGGUUGGCAGGGCUUGAAGGAAGAAACAUAAUCCACCCAAGCUCCCAGCAAGCAGGAGUCCCUAAGAGUCAGGACCAGGAUCUCAUAGCAAAGUGGAAUUCAUCUCUAAAAAGAGGUUUAUGGCUGACCAGACUUCAUCAGUUCAGAUAUGUCUGCCCCCAUAGGGAAGGCCCUCUGCUCCUUUGUCGAAGAUUAGCUGUCCAUAAAACUAAACAUAUUGUUACCACCAUGAUCCAACAGUCAUGUUCCUUGAUAUUUACCCAAAGGAGCUGAAAACUUACGUCCACACAAAAACUUGCACAUGGAUGUGUAUAGCAACUUUAUUCAUAAUUGCCAAAACUUGGAGGCAACCAGGAUGUCCUUCAGUAGGUGAAUGGAUAAAUAAGCUGUGGUCCAUCCAGACAAUGGAAUAUUAUUUAAUGCCAAAAAAUGAGCUAUCAAGUCAUGAAAAGACAUGGAGAAAACUUAGAUGCAUAUUAGUAAAUGGAAGAAACCCAUCUGAAAAGGAUACGUGCUAUAUAAUUCCAACUGUAUGACAUUCUGGAAAAGGCAAAACUAUGGAGUCAGUAAAAAGAUCAGGGGUUGCUAAGGGGAGGGAGAGAUGAAUAGGCAGAGCACAGAAGAUUUUUAGGGCAGUGAAAAUAUUCUGCAUGAUACUAUAAUGGUAAAUACAUGUCAUUAUACACUUGUCCGAACUGAUAGAAUGUAUAACACCAAAAGUGAACCCUAAUGUAAACUCUGGAUUCUGUGUGAUAAUGAUGUGUCAGUGUAGGUUCAUCAGUUGUAACAAAUAUACCACUCUGGUGGGGGAUAUGGAAAGGCUACACGUGUGUGAGGGCAAGGGACUUAUGGGACGUCUCUGAGCCUUCCUCAAUUUUGCUGUAAAUCUAAAACUGCUCUUAAAAAAAUCUUAAAAAAUUCUCCUUCUUACCCCACUCUAGUGGUCUUCAAGCCAAUGGUUAGGUCACCCAGAGAAAAGACCCUAGAACCCCCAGCUCCAUGCUAUGAUAGGCACCUCUCUUCUGUCUUCAGGUGUUGCCUGGACCAGGACCCGGAUCCACAACCAUAGGUCUCAAUCUGAACUUAGCCCAUUAAGGAUCUUUCUGACUUUGGAAGUAAAUGCUUUACCCAUGUUGAUUUUUGGUGUCUGCUAAUCUGUGAAAUGAAAAGAGCUAUCAUAUCUCUGAGUGUGUUAAUCCAAAUGUCUGAGAGCUCCUCCAAGACAAAGAAGAUGGGAGGCUGGCUUCAACGGCCCUGGAGGAAGAUCUCUUGGUCCCAGAAUCAUAUCUUUGCCCCUCUUUAUGGCUCUUCUAAGGGAAAAGUUAAACUGAUGCAAGUCCAGAUGGCACUGCAGGGACAGAGAGGAAAGAGAUAACAUCUGUUGAGCAUCCCCUGUGUA
ensembl:lncRNA